rnacentral:rRNA from 1 species
AGAGAGAGACAUGCGCGCAUAUCAAUAAGCGGAGGAAAAGAAACUAACAAGGAUUCCCCUAGUAACGGCGAGUGAAGCGGGAAGAGCUCAAAUUUGAAAUCUUAAAGGGUUUCCCUUUACGAAUUGUAGUUUAAAGAAGUGUUUUCUGUUGAGGUUUUGGUAAAAGUUCUUUGGAAUAGGACAUCAUAGAGGGUGAGAAUCCCGUAUUUGACCUUUACUUUCAACUUUGUGAUACACUUUCAAAGAGUCGGAUUGUUUGGGAAUGCAGUCCAAAAUGGGUGGUAAAUUUCAUCUAAAGCUAAAUAUUGGCGAGAGACCGAUAGCGAACAAGUACCGUGAGGGAAAGAUGAAAAGAACUUUGAAAAGAGAGUUAACCAGUACGUGAAAUUGUCAAAAGGGAAGCGUUUGACACCAGUGUUGUUUUUCUGAAAAUCAAUUAAAGAACUGUUUAUGCUAAGUUGUUUAGACUUUAUCAGCUAACUGUUUAGUUUUGAGCUUUUCUUUAAUGCACUUUUCAGUUAACAAGUCAACAUCAAUUUCUUUUGCUGUAAAAAAGCUUGAGGAAGGUGGCUUGAGAUUCGUCUUAAGUGUUUAUAGCCUCUUGCCUAUGCAGUCGGAGAGAUUGAGGUCUGCAGCGUAGAUCCUUCGGGGCUAAAUGCAUUUGUGCUAAGUUAUAGCAUUUUAUAGACAACUUGUUGACUAUGAUUUGUCUUGUAGCUUACUCGCUUAUGUUAUUUUACCUACGCUUAGGAUGUUGAGCGCAUGUCUCUCUCU